UACGUAGGGGGCAAGCGUUGUCCGGAUUUAUUGGGCGUAAAGAGCGUGUAGGCGGCUUUACAGGUCCGUUGUGAAAACUCGAGGCUCAACCUCGAGACGCCGGUGGAAACCGUAAAGCUAGAGUCCGGAAGAGGAGAGUGGAAUUCCUGGUGUAGCGGUGAAAUGCGCAAAUAUCAGGAGGAACACCCGUGGCGAAAGCGGCUCUCUGGGACGGUACUGACGCUGAGACGCGAAAGCGUGGGGAGCAAACAGG
rnacentral:rRNA from 1 species